rnacentral:lncRNA from 1 species
UCCAGCUCGAGGAUUUCAAAGACUUGAUGGAAGAUUUAAGCAGCAGUGAUGGAAGCCAUUCGUCUUGGAGGCAACCUGAUUUAUAUGAAGCAUCUCCAGCAAGCUCUGAAUUCAGUUCCGGCUCCAGUCUCAUAUCAUACUCAGCACCUGAUGCAACAGAACAACCUCAAGGUGAAAUUGAUAUGCUGCAGAAUGAUAUCGAAACUGAUUUGCAAAUAGUGCCCAUCGAAGGACAAAACGGCAUAGGUGAAUGUGACAACAAGAUUGUGUCCGACGACAACAUAGCCGAAGGUAUUAGGAAAUUAGCAUUUGAACAGAAAUCAAUUUGUGAAAUUGCUGCAAAUUACUUUUCUUUGCUUGAGCUAAGCAAACCAAUGCUGAUGAUAUUGGUGUACAUUUCAGGGAACCUGUUUCCAUCCUUCAGUAGGGAACUUAAAGCAGUUGGCUUUGCUUUUCUAAGUUCUAUUAUUUUGUCAUUUAUAGUGAACAAAUCAACUUCCAUAUUAGGGGUCAGGCUACUACGACGAAGCUGAGGUUCAAGAAUUUCAUUAGCUAGUUCCAGAAGUCGAUUUCACGUUAGGGGUUGCUCUAUGUUAUAAUCCAAGGUUUCUGUUUGAUGAACUUCCUAACCCUUGAAGAUACAAGUCCCUAAGGGUUUCUUCAAUGUAACAAGUUACUUACAUAGGCAUCAUUAGAUCAGUAUGAAAGAAUGUAUAUCCUAAGGGUUAUAUAAUCAAUACCUUCACUUGCUUAUUAUAAUUUAUUGUAGUGAGACACCCAAUUUUGUCUCACUGUGAGACAAGAAACCUUUUCCAACGUCAAGUUCUGAAAUUUCUCUGAUCUUAUGUAUUCUUCAUGCAGUAAUUCUAGGCUAAUGACUCUGUAAUCCUCAUUUGUGUGUUGUCUUUGUUUUCCAGGAACGUAGAUUCCUACUAAAAACUCUUGGAGUGGAGUCACCUUUUCCUAAUCCAACUACGAACACCUCCCAACAACCACCCUGCAAGAGAGUCCUUCUCCAAAGUCUAUGAAAGAGCCUCACAAAGCUCUCAGAUAUUCUACCUAUUUCCUCUGCAGCUAAUCUUCGCCGAAGUUUUUAUUCGUAGGCAUGUGAAGAUUUAUGCAUCCCCGCAUCCCGUGUCUAGAAUGCCACGGUGUGUAUUCUAGCCACAAGCUCAGGACACAUCUACCAAUGUGAUCCUGAGUACAAUUUUUACUAUAAUUAGAGUGCUACCGCGGGGAGAAAGGUACUCCUCCGUGAUUGCUAAUGCGUGACAUUCUUUUCGUUUAGUCGCUUGCUUAGGAAUCCGGUAGAUGGACUGCCGGAUCCUGUUUUUGGCCAUUCGAUUCAUCAUCAUCUGUACAGAUCCUUACUACUACUAGAUAAUAAUAUCUGUAGUCAAGAGUGUAAUUAGAGAUUGGCAUCUCGCCUAUAUAAGAGUAGAGUAAGCAACAGGAGAAAAAAAGGAAAGUAAAGGAGGAUUAACCAGCUACUGAUUGGAUUCUCAUUUGUUGUUUUUUGAGUGUGCAUAGGGUAUAGAAUACAGUUUUCCCUUAGGGUUUCCUCCCUUUGCCUGAAUUCUUAUGUAAUAGAUAAAAACCUUUGUUGGGUUUUGGAAUGGAAAUAUCUUCCUGGUUUUGGUGUGAAAAUUUCUCUGCAAAGUUCGUUUCUUUACUGCAGUUAUACUCAAAACAUGCAAACAAGAUGAGACUUGCUGCAUUCUGCAGUGUUCUUAGUGUUCUUCACAACCCGAAUACAAAGUUCUGAUCUUUACUGCAGUUUACACUCAAAACAUGCAAACAGGAGUGAGACUUGCUGCAUUCUGCAGUGUUCUUAGUGUUAUUCACAACCCGAAUACGAAAAGGUAAGCGGGAGAUCAAAGUGAUCAACUUUACCUGAGUGUCUUUCCUCCUGUAGGCUCUUCUUGAUUGAUUGACUGAUUGGUUGACUGGCACUGAUGAAAGACAAGGAAUGAGCACUCUUUCUUCUUCUGCUGCAUUAUUCCUGAGCUGCUCGGUUUCUUUUUCCUUGCUUCUUCUGGGAAAGGUUUUGUGGGGAAGAACUGAAACAAGGGGGUCAGUGAGGAUUCUGUCAUUUAAGUAACGUAAGUAGUGGGUAGUGGUGGGUGAUGGUGGAGCACAAGUGUAAUCAUUUUUUGAACAAAGUUAAAGAGAAAAUGAAGAGGGAAACGUCAUAUGAAAUAAAGUGCACUCAUUGGCUUUCUACUUUGUCCACAGAUUGGUUGACUCUGGUUUGAAG